rnacentral:rRNA from 1 species
UCCGUAGGUGAACCUGCGGAAGGAUCAUUAGUGAUUGCCUUUAUAGGCUUAAAACUAUAUCCACUUACACCUGUGAACUGCUCUGUUACCUGGUGCAAAUCAGGUAUUUUUACAAACAAUGUGUAAUGAACGUCGUUUUAUUAUAACAAAAUAAAACUUUCAACAACGGAUCUCUUGGCUCUCGCAUCGAUGAAGAACGCAGCGAAUUGCGAUAAGUAAUGUGGAUUGCAGAAUUCAGUGAAUCAUCGAAUCUUUGAACGCAGCUUGCGCUCUCUGGUAUUCCGGAGAGCAUGCCUGUUUCAGUGUCAUGAAAUCUCAACCACUAGGGUUUCCUAAUGGAUUGGAUAUGGGCGUCUGCGAUCUCUGAUCGCUCGCCUUAAAAGAGUUAGCAAGUUUGACAUUAAUGUCUGGUGUAAUAAGUUUCACUGGGUCCAUUGUGUUGAAGCGUGCUUCUAAUCGUCCGCAAGGACAAUUACUUUGACUCUGGCCUGAAAUCAGGUAGGACUACCCGCUGAACUUAAGCAUAUCAAUAAGCGGAGGA